GCGGCCGUGGCGGAAAGGCAGACGUGCACGCUUGAGGGGCGUGUGAGCAAUCGUAUGGGUUCAAAUCCCAUCGGCCGCACCA
rnacentral:tRNA from 1 species